CAGCUAUUCAGGAGGCUGAAGCAGAGAGUCGCUUGAACCCAGGAGGCAGAGGUUGCAGUGAGCCAAGAUCUUGCCACUGCACUCCAGCCUGGGUGACAGAGCAAAACUCCAUCUCAAAAACAAACAAACAAACAAACAAACAAACAAAAACCUGUUUGUGCCUCAGUUUCCUCAUUUAUGAAGUGGGAAUAACAGAACCUACCUCAGAACUGAUUGAGGGUGAAAUAUGCCACGUGAGGUGCUUAGAAUAGGGCCUGCCAUACAGAAAGUCCUUGAGAAGCGUUAGCUGCUAUUACUGUUGUUACUUUGUCCCACUGUCCCUUGCUCUCUCCCCUAGAAUGCACACCCCAGCUGCCUGACCGUGGAGCCCCUGCUUCUAACCCCUCUGGCAGCAUCCAAAGGCAAAGGCCAUGGCAGAGCGUCUCCUCAGACGUCCUCCUUGUUUCAUAAGGGGGUGUGGGACCAUUCCAGAAAUCCCUUCUGUCUCCUUGACUAGAACGGGAUUGGACGCCUGCCCCUAAACAAAUAGAGGCAGAGAGGAAUGGGGAUACCAUAGGUACACACGCCUGACCCAGUGCAGGGCCCUGUUCCCAUAGACUGGUGCUUCUCCAGCUCCAGGAGCCUCAGAGUCACCUGAGGGUUUUAAAAAAACAAUUUCCAACAAAUAAAUACAUAAAUAAAUAACCAAUUUUCAGGCCGGGCAUGGUGGCUCAUGCUUGUAAUCACAGCACUUUGGGAGGCCUAGGAUCACCGGAGGUCAGGAGUUUGAGACCAGCUUGGCCAACGCGGCAAAACCCAGUCUCUACUAAUUAGCUGAGGUGGGGUGGACACCUGUAAUCCAAGCUACUCAGGAGGCUGAGGCAGGAGAAUCACUUGAACCCGGGAGGCAGAGGUUGCAAUGAGCCGAGACUGCGCCACUGCACUUCAGCCUGGGCGACACAGCAAGACUCGGACUCAAAAAAAAAAAAAAAAAAAACCUUCCAGGUUCCACCACCAGAGGCUUCAGUAGGUCUGAGAUGGGGUCGAAUCUGCAUUCCUCACAAGUUUCCAGAUGAGCUAACGCUGCUGGUUCAGGGACCCCACUUUAAGAAUCCCAGAAUGGAAGAGGAGAAAAGAUGUAACCCUGUCUGCACCCGCUGGCUCCUCCCGGGAGAUUGGCAUAAGGUACAGGAAAAGUGACCGUUUCCUUCUUUGUGAAUUUCCCACGGAUUCCAAGGGGCGCAGACAGAACCUGACAGGGUGAGGACCCUCUUGGCUGUCAGCUUAUUCUGAAAUUUGAAUUUCCAACUCACUCAGAGGAAUCCAGGGGGAAGGGUUGUUAUUUAUAACCACAGUUUCCUUCUAAGGGAAGUAGAUCCUGCUUCAUUAAAUAAAAGGCCCUUUUGUUCUUAAAAGGACUUUACU
rnacentral:lncRNA from 13 species